ensembl:lncRNA
CUGGUCUUUCCCUGGCUACGGGAGCAGUCCAGGCUGCAAUAAGGAGCCACGGCCUCCAAGCCACUCCACCAUGGGGACCCGGAGCUGGGGAGCCUGGGAGAACUCAGCAGGGCCAGGCCUGCUCCAGCAGGAAGGACCAGCCGAGCCACGCUGAGCGCCUGCACCCACGACCUCCUCUGGCCCCCAGCCAGGUUCUCACAUCACGGAGCGGGUGGUGAGGGGGUUUUCAAGGCUCAGAAAUGAAGACACUUGCCCCGAGUGGACACAUUCAAGUGGCAGACAGAUGGGCCUCAGUUUCCUUUAUUUGAAAUAAGACUAAAAGUAGUCCUGCUUCCUGGGGAGGCCGUGCCGUCCAGGCUGCGCGCCCAGCUCCCCGGAGGCUCCAUCUUCGGAUGCUGUUCUGUUCUUGCUCUCAGUCAGGUCUUCUCGGCUCCAAAGUCCAAGUCGUCUCCUUUCUUUUCUUUUAAAAUUAACUGCCUCCUAUUCUAAGUCACAGGUCCUCUGAAAGUGAAAGCCACUCAGUCUGAAUACUGGAGUGGAUAGCUCUUCCCUUCUCCAGUGGAUCUUCCGGAUCCAGGGUCUCCUGCGUUGCAGGCAGAUUCUUCACCAACUGAGCUACUAGGGAAGCGCUGAGGUCCUCUGAGCCCCAGGCUUUUCAUGGCUAAAGUGGGUAGAGAGUCCUGCUUAGCUCACGGCGACGUGAGGCACAUAUGAAGUGUUGACGUGACACCGCAGCCCAGCCCUACUCGCCACAGCUGAAAGACGAGAGCAACCCAGAGCCGGCAGCUGGUGAAGGGAUCAGCAGAAAGCACCGCCACGGGGUGGAAUGUGACUCACCAGAGGCAGGCUCGAAGCGCUGGUAGCUGGUACCACGUUGCAAACAGCAUGGAAGUAGAGCUUGUGAGGGAAGCCGGUGGGGAGAAAGUCUGCAGAGAGCACCCUGAGGGCUGAGCUGCUUAGAAGGAGCAUCUGGAGCUGAGGAGGAGGCCAUCCCGGCCAGAAGCUCCCCAGGGUCUGUAUCCCAGGCCAGGAAGGUGGCAG